UACGGCUACAUCAAAUUGAAAUAACAGUUCCCAUACGAUCACCGAAGUUAAGCAACGUCGAGCCUGGUUAGUACCUGGUGACCUCUUGGGAAUACCAGGUGCCGGA